AAUUAUUGACGACCGGAAAUGGUUCCCGGCACACUUGUUUUACAAGUAUCUGGCAUGAUGGAUACACCGCCCAUUCAAUAAUU
rnacentral:ncRNA from 12 species